rnacentral:rRNA from 1 species
UACGGGGGGAGCAAGCGUUGUUCGGAUUUACUGGGCGUAAAGGGCGCGUAGGCGGCCUCUGCAAGUCGACUGUGAAAUCUCCGGGCUUAACCCGGAACGGUCAGCCGAUACUGCAGGGCUAGAGUGCAGAAGGGGCAACUGGAAUUCUCGGUGUAGCGGUGAAAUGCGUAGAUAUCGAGAGGAACACCAGUGGCGAAGGCGACUUCCUGGCCUGUUCUUGACGCUGAGGCGCGAAAGCUAGGGGAGCAAACGGG